rnacentral:rRNA from 1 species
CAGCCAUGCCGCGUGGAGGAAGACUGCCCUAUGGGUUGUAAACUGCUUUUAUACAGGAAGAAACGCAGAUACGUGUAUUUGUUUGACGGUACUGUAAGAAUAAGGACCGGCUAACUCCGUGCCAGCAGCCGCGGUAAUAAACUA